rnacentral:rRNA from 1 species
UCCGGUUGAUCCUGCCGGACCUGACUGCUAUCGGAUUAAUACUAAGCCAUGCGAGUUUUUGUAGUAAUACAAGGCAUACGGCUCAGUAACACGUAGUCAACCUACCCUAUGGACGAGGAUAAUCUCGGGAAACUGAGCAUAAUACUCGAUAGAUCAUAAUGCCUGGAAUGGUUUAUGGUUGAAAUGAUUCGUUCGCCAUAGGAUGGGACUGCGGCCUAUCAGCUUGUUGGUGAGGUAAUGGCCCACCAAGGCGAUUACAGGUACGGGCUCUGAGAGGAGAAGCCCGGAGAUGGGUACUGAGACACGGACCCAGGCCCUAUGGGGCGCAGCAGGCGAGAAAACUUUGCAAUGUGCGAAAGCACGACAAGGUUAGUCCGAGUGAUUUCUGCUAAAGAGAUCUUUUGCAAGUUCUAAAACCACUAGUGAAUAAGGGGUGGGCAAGUUCUGGUGUCAGCCGCCGCGGUAAAACCAGCACCUCAAGUGGUCAGGAGGAUUAUUGGGCCUAAAGCAUCCGUAGCCGGCUCUGUAAGUUUUCGGUUAAAUCCAUGCGCUCAACGCAUGGGCUGCCGAAAAUACUGCACAGCUAGGGAGUGGGAGAGGUAGACGGUACUCGGUAGGAAGGGGUAAAAUCCUUUGAUCUAUCGAUGACCACCUGUGGCGAAGGCGGUCUACCAGAACACGUUCGACGGUGAGGGAUGAAAGCUGGGGGAGCAAACCGGAUUAGAUACCCGGGUAGUCCCAGCUGUAAACGAUGCAGACUCGAUGAUGCAUUGGCAUAUAGCCAGUGCAGUGUCGCAGGGAAGCCGUUAAGUCUGCCGCCUGGGAAGUACGUACGCAAGUAUGAAACUUAAAGGAAUUGGCGGGGGAGCACCACAAGGGGUGAAGCCUGCGGUUCAAUUGGAGUCAACGCCAGAAAUCUUACCCGGAGAGACAGCAGAAUGAAGGUCAAGCUGAAGACUUUACCAGACAAGCUGAGAGGUGGUGCAUGGCCGUCGCCAGCUCGUGCCGUGAGAUGUCCUGUUAAGUCAGGUAACGAGCGAGAUC